AUUGAUUUGAUUGGAUUUCAUUGACGAAUAAUUUCAUGUUCAACUUGUGAUAAUAUAAGCCUGUAAUAACAGACAAAUUCGGCAUGUUUGUAAUCAGUUUAAUUUUAACGACGAGAUCCGGGAGUUACUUCCUCGGCAUAUUCGAUGGAUACUCAGCUACGUUUGGACUUAUUUUUGUCGCACUAUUCUGAACAAUUGCAGUUACUUGGGUCUUCAACUAGAGAAGCAUGUUUGUAAUCGGUUUUAAUUUCAACAAUGAGUAUGGGAGAUAUUCAACGGAUACUCUGCUACAUCUGACUUGUUUUUAUUGCACUAUUCGAAACGAUUGCAGUUGCUUGGGUCUUCAAACUAGAGAAAUGACCUCAAAAAUGAGAUAGAGAGAAUGAUUCAUUCGAAACCUAUUUGAAAUUUCAAAUACUUGGCAGUUAAUGGGAGAUAUGCAACGGUUUGCAUCUUUUUUACUGGAAUGAAUGAAUGUUAACAAAUGAAUUACUGAAAACACGGAAAACAUCAAUAAGACAGAUUGCUGAGUGUUCACACACAAAGAAAACACUUAUUUCUCAAUAAGUUACUACAGAAAAUGGUCAAAUGUAAGAAUUUCAUUGAAAAAAUAUGGUUU